GUAGUCCCACCCUGUGUGUGUGUGUGUGUGUGUGUGUAGUGUGUGUGUGUGUGUGUAGUGUGUGUGUGUAGUCCCACCCUGUGUGUGUGUGUGUGUAGUCCCACCCUGUGUGUGUGUGUGUGUAGUCCCACCCUGUGUGUGUGUGUGUGUGUGUUCCCACCCUGUGUUCUGUGUGUGUGUGUGUGUGUGUGUGUGUGUGUGUGUGUGUGUGUGUGUGUGUGUAGUCCCACCCAGUGUUCUGUGUGUGUGUGUGUAGUCCCACCCUGUGUUCUGUGUGUGUGUGUGUGUGUGUGUGUGUGUAGUUCCACCCUGUGUUCUGUGUGUGUGUGUGUGUGUGUGUGUGUGUGUGUGUGUGUGUGUAGUCCCACCCUGUGUUCUGUGUGUGUGUGUGUGUGUGUGUAGUCCCACCCUGUGUGUGUGUGUGUAGUCCCACCCUGUGUGUGUGUGUGUGUGUGUGUAGUCCCACCCUGUGUGUGUGUGUGUAGUCCCACCCUGUGUGUGUGUGUGUGUGUGUAGUCCCACCCUGUGUGUGUGUGUGUGUUCCCACCCUGUGUGUGUGUCUGUGUGUGUGUAGUCCCACCCCAUGUGUGUGUGUGUGUAGUCCCACCCUGUGUGUGUGUGUGUAGUCCCACCCUGUGUGUGUGUGUGUGUGUGU
ensembl:lncRNA